rnacentral:misc_RNA from 1 species
GAUGAAGAACGCAGCGAAAUGCGAUAAGUAAUGUGAAUUGCAGAAUUCAGUGAAUCAUCGAAUCUUUGAACGCACAUUGCGCCCGUCAGUAUUCUGGCGGGCAUGCCUGUUCGAGCGUCAUUACGCCCCUCAAGUCCCCUGUGGACUUGGUGUUGGGGAUCGGCGAGGCUGGUUUUCCAGCACAGCCGUCCCUUAAAUUAAUUGGCGGUCUCGCCGUGGCCCUCCUCUGCGCAGUAGUAAAACACUCGCAACAGGAGCCCGGCGCGGUCCACUGCCGUAAAACCCCCCAACUUCUUAUAGUUGACCUCGAAUCAGGUAGGACUACCCGCUGAACUUAAGCAUAUCAAUAAGCGGAGGA